rnacentral:rRNA from 1 species
GAUGAACGCUGGCGGCGUGCCUAAUACAUGCAAGUCGAGCGAACGGACGAGAAGCUUGCUUCUCUGAUGUUAGCGGCGGACGGGUGAGUAACACGUGGGUAACCUACCUAUAAGACUGGGAUAACUUCGGGAAACCGGAGCUAAUACCGGAUAAUAUUUUGAACCGCAUGGUUCAAAAGUGAAAGACGGUCUUGCUGUCACUUAUAGAUGGAUCCGCGCUGCAUUAGCUAGUUGGUAAGGUAACGGCUUACCAAGGCAACGAUGCAUAGCCGACCUGAGAGGGUGAUCGGCCACACUGGAACUGAGACACGGUCCAGACUCCUACGGGAGGCAGCAGUAGGGAAUCUUCCGCAAUGGGCGAAAGCCUGACGGAGCAACGCCGCGUGAGUGAUGAAGGUCUUCGGAUCGUAAAACUCUGUUAUUAGGGAAGAACAUAUGUGUAAGUAACUGUGCACAUCUUGACGGUACCUAAUCAGAAAGCCACGGCUAACUACGUGCCAGCAGCCGCGGUAAUACGUAGGUGGCAAGCGUUAUCCGGAAUUAUUGGGCGUAAAGCGCGCGUAGGCGGUUUUUUAAGUCUGAUGUGAAAGCCCACGGCUCAACCGUGGAGGGUCAUUGGAAACUGGAAAACUUGAGUGCAGAAGAGGAAAGUGGAAUUCCAUGUGUAGCGGUGAAAUGCGCAGAGAUAUGGAGGAACACCAGUGGCGAAGGCGACUUUCUGGUCUGUAACUGACGCUGAUGUGCGAAAGCGUGGGGAUCAAACAGGAUUAGAUACCCUGGUAGUCCACGCCGUAAACGAUGGGUGCUAAGUGUUAGGGGGUUUCCGCCCCUUAGUGCUGCAGCUAACGCAUUAAGCACUCCGCCUGGGGAGUACGACCGCAAGGUUGAAACUCAAAGGAAUUGACGGGGACCCGCACAAGCGGUGGAGCAUGUGGCUUAAUUCGAAGCAACGCGAAGAACCUUACCAAAUCUUGACAUCCUUUGACAACUCUAGAGAUAGAGCCUUCCCCUUCGGGGGACAAAGUGACAGGUGGUGCAUGGUUGUCGUCAGCUCGUGUCGUGAGAUGUUGGGUUAAGUCCCGCAACGAGCGCAACCCUUAAGCUUAGUUGCCAUCAUUAAGUUGGGCACUCUAAGUUGACUGCCGGUGACAAACCGGAGGAAGGUGGGGAUGACGUCAAAUCAUCAUGCCCCUUAUGAUUUGGGCUACACACGUGCUACAAUGGGCAAUACAAAGGGCAGCGAAACCGCGAGGUCAAGCAAAUCCCAUAAAGUUGUUCUCAGUUCGGAUUGUAGUCUGCAACUCGACUACAUGAAGCUGGAAUCGCUAGUAAUCGUAGAUCAGCAUGCUACGGUGAAUACGUUCCCGGGUCU